rnacentral:tRNA from 1 species
UCCCUGGUAGUCCAGUUGUUAGGACUCAGCGCUUUCAGUGCUGGGGCCUGGGUUCGAUCCUUGGUUGGGGAA